AGAGAGAGGGCAGGGAGACCAUAACAUACGGCCUUGUGUGUCCUUCCUCAGGUACUGUCCACUUUUUGUUUCUAUUAUCUUAUUUUUAAACCGGGUCUUUCACUGACUAGACACUCACCCAGGGAACUUGCCUGGCUGCCACUGAGCCCCAGGGAUCCACUUGUCUCCCCUUCUCCAGCUCUGGGAUUACAACCAUCAUGCUGCCUUUUUUAAAGUGUGGACUUUGAGGGCUGCGCUCAGGUCCUCAUGCUCCGAGGCGAGCAUGCUACUGACUGAGUCAUUGCCCGGUCACCGUCCUUAUUGUUUCAAAAUGGACUUCAUUUUUAUCACCCAAACCAAGGACAGGUUGAGCUGGCCUGGACCCGCAUUGUGUGACAGCCAUCCCUCUUAGCAGUUCCUCUCACUCGUGGACCCACACCGACCACCUUCGUUUCGGGUCAGAUGUGAAUAAAGGGGUAAAGGGGGUCCAGUUCCCUCUUCCUCCCAGGUCUCAGCCCUGUGAGUCAUGGUGUGUCAUCCUUCUUGGAUACAUAUUUCCCUUGCAGAAGCUCAACACCCCGUUGCUCUGGGCUGAGAAACUUGAGUGCCGAAUGACUGUGUCCCAAACAGGAUGGUGCUCUGAGUGUCUGGUAAAGUACCUGGGAGUUUUCUUUGUUCCCAACGGGGUCGGAGGCUGAGCUGUGGGGGCCGUUCAGUGAUGUUAUGGUCAUAUAUAGUAGCGAUCCGGAACCUGUCAGCCCUGACGAAUCACCCGCCUUUGAACUGAAGAUUAAAAAAAGACAAAAGCUCUCUGUGGUUGCAACCAAGAUGUGAUGAUAGACCGAGCCCCGAGAGUCUCAGCCAGCCCACUGGCACGUUCUGAGGGUACUGUGAAACUCAGCUCAGCCACCCCUCGUCAUAAGAGAACAAGCAAGUGGGGGUACGAAAGGGAGAUCGGCGGGUUCUGUUUCUCACUGGCUGUGCAAACAGGCACUUGCCGGAAGCUGUACAGUGGGAGCAAAGUCUUAAGAGGCUGUUAAGUCCUUUCUGGGAAUGAUGGGGUGUAUUUGUGUGUUGGGUUUUGUUUUCUAUUUUUCCAUUUUCUCAUUUUCCAUGACUCUUAACAUAUUUAUUACCUGGGACUUUUUUGGGUGGGAUCCUGACGGAAUGUUAGCAUAUUCAGUAGUUCUGGUGGGAGUUGGGGCUUGGCAACAGGGUGAAUCUGAAACUUGCCCCAAAUUUGCAUUCUACUCAUCAGUACAUAUUCCAUACAUCUUCAACACUUGUUUAAAGAAGUACAUGGUAUAGGAUUGGUAACAUGGCUCAGUCAGUAAAAGCACUUGCAGCCAAGCCUGAAGAUCUGAGUUCAAUCCCCAAGACACAUGGGGAAAAGAAAGAGCUGACUCUUGUAGGUUGUUCCAUAAUCUCCACAUACUAAAUAGAUAGGUGGAUAGAUGAUAGAUAGAUAGAUAGAUAGAUAGAUAGAUAGAUAGAUAGAUAGAUAUGAAGGUAGGUAGAUAGAUAAUAAAUAGAUAGAUACAGGUAGGUGGAUAGAUGAUAGAUAUAAAUAGGUAGGUAGAUGAUAGAUAGAUAGAUAGAUAGAUAGAUAGAUAGAUAGAUAGAUAGAUAAAUGUGCAGGUAGGUAGAUAGACGAUAGAUAGAUGUAGGUAGGUAGAUGAUAGGUAGAUGGAUAGAUGGAUGGAUGUGUAGAUAGAUGGUAGAUAGAUAUGCAGAUAGGUAGAUAGAUGAUAGAUAUAAGUAGGUAAAUGAUAGGUAGAUUGAUGUGAUUUUUAGAAUGUUAUGCGUGGCAUGGCUGUAGGUCUUAAACUUGGCUCUUCACAGACAGCUAGGUUAGAUGACCUACUUGACCUGAUCCCUCACCUUUGAUCAUGCGCCUGUGUUCUGGGAUGGUGGGGAAGAACUGAGGGGAUAGCGUGAUGACAGGUCCAGCCCGAAGGACCCUGGAGCUAGAGAAGGUUGGUCUCAGGGUGACUUACCAACACAAGCCUUGCCGUCUCUGGGUUGUGUACAUGUCUGUUCUUUGAAAGAGCUCACCCAGAGGAAAGUGGAGGCCAGCCUGGUCUAUAGGGUGAGUUCCAGGACUGCCAGGGCUACAAAGAGAAACUCUGUCUUGAAAAACAAAACAAAACAAAACAAAAAAGAAAGAAAGAAAAGAAAAGACAGAGUUCACUCACCUGUUUCAACCACACCUAUAAGCUUUAGAUUGGUCCCUGCUCACGUAUCAUAAAAAAACAAGACCUGGCUUUGAAACAUUGUUAAAACGCAGACUUUACCUGCUAAUGCCCAGAUAGUGACAUCUUUCCACCUUGUUUGAAGAUAUGAUGUAUGAACUAUGGCAGCUAGUGUCCCUAAGCAUCUUCAGAUGGGGUACAUGGUUCUCCCACUUUGUGACUUUGAGUUUCUAACUCAAGGGUGGUCAAGCCCUUUCAUUUUGCCAUCACCAGAACCAAGGGUCUUGCCCAAACUCAAGUUAGAUUCAGAUGAGCUCAUGAGUCUGUGUUGCUUGUAAAUUAAGAAGCAGAACGAAACACUUGCUUUUGGACAUGCAGUUUUAUAGUUUGCCAUUAGUUAGUGAUCUGGGCUACACAGAUCACCUUAGUAGAUCCUCGUAAUACCGUUUCUUUGAAUAUGAGAAGGCUGGGGUCCAGAGAGCCUAGCCAACUUGAGCACUAUGUUGGGUGAUUCGUCACCUGAAAUAGUCUUGAUUCAUACUAUCUCACUGUCAUUAUUAAUUCUCUCCAGAGUGUCCUGGCUCAGGUCAUCCAUCACAGGCUGGACCAGAGGUGUGGAAUGGAUGAGCAACCUCAGGCCCUGCUGUGUAGAUGCCUUGCUCUAAAGCUAAGUACUUUGCAGCCAGCGCUAUUCCUAGCCAGGCUUUGAUGAUGAGGCAUGGCCUGAGUAACCUAAGCAUGAGUGCCAGCCUACCGUUAGCUGGGGAGUACACUGCGGCCUAGGGCGGCUGGUGUUCUGGCCGGUGGGGCUCUUAGGGGCGGGGGUGGAGAACUUUGUGACUGUGCUUGUUUCGCUGAGGAGGUGUGUUUGGAGUUGAGUUGCUAGUGGGGUAGGCCGGAGGGAGGCUGUGGGAAAGCCUGGGAUCAGGACUAGGUGUUUUCCCAGGGACUAUGGAGGUGUAGCCAGGGCAACGGGGAGAGGAAGAAGACAAACGGAAGGUAGCCAGGCCACAGGGUACUUCCCAGAUGAGCCAAGAUGGGACAAGAGCCCAGAUGUGGCCAAACUGUAGCUCCGUGUAACAGUGCUGAACCCCAGUCUGGCUUUUUUAGGUUCUUGGAGAUCUCAACCUCAGCUCUUCUUGAGAAUUCUGGGGAAGGGUGUCUACAGCCACGAAGUGAGACCGGUCCCAUCAACACCGUAGAGUGGCAGGCUGUGAGUCCCAGAGGUGGAAGUCACAUGCCCUCCGUUCCAGCUGGGCCAAUUACAUCAUUAAGAUGGUGGUAGAGCAAGAAACACAGCAGUCUGGAAGCAGGGGGUCGAGUGAAGCAGUCUGCACAGUCUUGAAAAUAUGACACUGGACACGAGUUAUGAAUCACAUCCUGCUCCCACAAACCUUUGACAAGACGAGACUCUGUAGAAAACAGCUUCCGAGCGUGAGGGCCCGCGUGCUGCUUGCCGUCUGUCAUUCUCGGACGCCGUGUGCCCUUCAGGAGCAGUCUUUGUCGUUCGUAAGGCAGGAAAAGAGGACUGAUGGUUGCAUCCGGGUAUUAGAAAUUCGUAUUUUUUAGGAGUCUUAGAUGAACUGGGUUAGAGCCAGUGUUAUUGCCUGAACUUCAGUACCGGCUUUUUGUGGUACAGGGGCCAAAUGGACUGCCUGUAUCCCUGUUGGUGCAGCCAUCAAAUCCCAAGGUGUUUACCGGUCAUGUGGCCCUGCUCCUGGCCAAUGGCUCAAUCUGGAAAAGUACAUCGUUUGGACAACGUGGUCUCUGUUUCAGCCCUAAGAAUUUAAGAACUCCAAGAAAGAAUUCAUGCUCAGGUAUGCAUGACUGGAACCUGCCAGCAGAAGCCGUCUUUUUUAAAUGACUCUUGAGACAGCAGGCAUCUUAAUGAAGAAGGGCCAAGGGCUAAUGGCAGCUCCAUAACUUGUGUGGUUGGCUGUGGACCUUUUGGGAAAGGAGGGCUUCCUGGCGGAACAGACAAAAUUUGUAUCAACCCAUCUGUUCACUCACAAACACCCCGCAGUGUUCUAGAUGCCUUUCACGGCCCCUUCCCAGGUCAUGAACUUCCUGGGCCUGUGGAAGCCUCAGGCAAGGCCAGGCAAAGCAAACUGAAGAGUGCUAUACCCAUGCCUGUCCCACCCUGGUGCAAGGCUUGGGGACUGUGGUGGCACAUAUGUUUGACACCCAUUCGGUGGUCAACUUGGGCAGUUUAAUGAGACUCUGUCUCCAAAAAACAUAAAAAUUUAAAAAAUUAAGAAAAGUCUAUUUGUCUGGCAUGGGUGGGGCCAUGGGUUCAUCCUCAGCAAGACAAAAGGUCAUCUGCAGAUCAGAUUGGCCUCUGGAUGGCCGGUUUGGGGCCUGAGAGAGGGGAAAGCCUCAUCUCCAAAGCUAGGCAGGGUCCUGGGCUUUGCCAGCCAUCCGUGGGCCUCAGUCCUGCAUUUAGUGAGAGGAGAGGGUUAUGUGUGCAAGGGCCAGUCCUUACAGCACUGCUUUGCUGUGGUUUGGGUAUCUUGGUCGUGGAUUCUGAUGCUGCUGAGUUGAAGUUGGGUCUGGUUGAUAUAAAGCCCUCAUGGAAGCCCCUCCUUCAGCCAUGCCUGGAAGUGAGGGCUGGACCACCUGGAUUGUGUGCCAAUGAGCGCUCUUCCCUUGACUGCAGAGAUGCUGCCAAAGGUCCUUUGUAACUCCCCACCCCCAAGGAAGCCUCUCAGACCGGAGGUGUACCUACAGAUCCAGAUCCUGGGGAGGGGGUGGCUGCGGAGAUGGCGGUGGCGAUAAACGCGUUGCACACACUUAAAGCUUUGCUUUCUGGUUUUUGUGUGGGUGCUGUCCUAGUGGAGGAAAAUCAGAUGUCCUUGAAUGGAUGGAGCAGAGCCUAGCCCCACCCUUGGUGCCGGAAGAGAGGCUAACAGUGAGAGAGAAGAGAUCUCACUUAUAGUGUGGGCUGGGUUUGAGUCUUCCUGGGGCUAACAACAAUGGCUGCCACUGUUACAUGAGAUAAAGGAGCAAAUGAGGGUGGGGGGGGAUGAGGAGCCCUUGGACGUGAGCAGGUUAUAUAUUGGCAAACUGAAUGAAAACCAUGAAGAAUGUGGGAGCAGGGGGAUGGCUUCCAUUCUGGAUGAGAAUAAAAACCAUUUCUCAGCUGGGUGUGGUGGUGCAGGUCUGUCAUCCCAGCUCUUAGUUGGCCAAGCCAGGAAGCUGAUGAGUUAGAAGUUAGCCUGGGAUGAAUAGCGAGAUCCUGUCCCCCUCCCCAUCUCUCUCUGCCUUUGGGAUAGCAGCUUACAAUGCCCACACUGCUCCUUUGGGAUAGCAGCUUACGAUGCCCACACUGCUCCUUUGGGAUAGCAGCUUACGAUGCCCACACCGCUCCUUUGGGAUGGUAACUUACAAUGCCCACAUUGCUCCUUUGGGAUGGUAGCUUACGAUGCCCACACCGCUCCUUUGGGAUGGUAGCUUACGAUGCCCACACCACUCCUUUGGGAUGGUAGUUUAUGAUGCCCACACUGCUCCUUUGGGAUGGUAGUUUAUGAUGCCCACACUGCCCCUUUGAAGCCCCACUUCUAAUUACUUUUCAUUGGUUCAUCUUGCUUAAUUAAAAAGUGAUGAACUCAGGAACCUUCAUGUCCAGGUGUGUCACUCCUAGCUCUGGUGUGGCCUGAGCACCUACAGCCUGAAGGACACCCAGGGUGAUACCAGCAAACUAAGAAGGGGGCAGGAAGGUGAUGGGGGGUGGUGACACUGGGUUCUUAUUUUAAAUUGGGGCAGGAAUGAAGGAUGGCAGUGACACCCAUCUGCAACUUUUGAGAAACCUUUGUGGGACACAGAUGUUCAGGUGGAAGGGUAGCCUAUUUAUAGAAACACACGUCAAAGGAAGAAACAAAACCAACAGAGAGAGACAAUUAACCCAAGAGCUGCCCUGGCUGCACCUACAGUGGGAUCCACGCCUUGGAGGUGGACCAGAUGACCCUGGGAAGCCCCACAUGGAGACUAGUCUGGGUUCUCUAUCCCAUCCCUUCCCUGUGGGUGAUGAGGGUGCCUCAGGACUGAAUGUGGGCAAUCUUCUGAGAGUCCACUGAGUGAAGCUGACAGCGGGCUCAUGCUCAGCUUUCAUUGAGCGGGGUCAGCCACACAGCGAGAGCGCUCCUCUGCUCCAGCCGCGGGAAUUAGCCCCAUCUGUGUCUCCAUUUGUCCUUAGAGCAGGGCUCUCCAGAUGCAGUUAGGAAGGUGGGCGGCGGGCCUCAGUGUAGACGCCCUUUCAUCUGCAGAUGUGGGCGACUCAGACACAGCCCCUGUAGAGCUGUUGUUCUGCCUCCUCCCCUUCACAGGGGACUGUGCUCUGAGGGGCAGGGCUCAUCAGUCCAGGCAGGCCCCAAGGCCAUGUACUUAGUGUUCCACAAAGAUCGCUCGACCUUGGGAGCAGCUGAGGACUUAGCACCCCGUGUCACCUCUCCAAGAGAGUAAAGAUUCAUAAAGCACUAGGUUGUUUUGUAAGACAUUUUGAUAGAUGCUGGGAACGGGACAGAAAAGAUAAACAAACCAACAGGAAGCUCAGGCUUUGCUUCUCAAAAAUCUAUUCAUCUUUUUUCUUCUUUCUUAUUUUUUGAGACAGGGGCUCACUAUACAGCUCAGGCAGGCCUCCAACUCAUUGUCUGCUUACCUCAACCCCUGAGUGCUGGGGUUGUAGGUAGGCACUACCCUGCCCAGCAAUACUUUAUAAUCUGAAUGAAGAAAACAUGGAAAUAUAAUACAAAAUGACACACUGGAUGGAAUGACUGGGUGGAUGGAUGGCGGCGGCAGGAGUCAGGCUUCCCACUCAGCGUGGGGGAGGGUUACAAAUGGAAGAGAAGGCUAGAGACACACACCCUGUUGUGCUGGAUUAUCAUGGGGCAGCUGUGUGCAUUUAGUGUGGAGCUGCAGAUGGAGACAUACGAACAUAAAACCUGCCACUCUUUGGACAGUCUCACACUGUCGCCAAGGCUUGUUGGGAGCAUAGCGUGGAAGGUCCUUGAGCCCACAGAUCUCCAGAGAAACCAGGAAUGUUAAGCAGACAGGACUGCCUUUCCAAUGGGAAAGAUGAAAAACCUGUUCUUCCAUCCAGAAAGCUGGGAACUGGAAGUGAUUAAUAGCCUGGUGAUCUGUGUUAUCUGCCAGGCCAUACCAAGCUCCUAGAACCAGGACCAGAGGUCACAGUCAUCUAAAUGACUCUUACAACCAGGGGCUCCCCAAGUCCCACAACCAGGGCCAGAGGUAGGUGUUAGUCCAAAUGACCUCUACUCUAUCUGUAUGACUAGGACCAGACCAGACUCUUCCUUAGGCCCUUAGGCUAAUAAGGGUAGCCUCUUUCUAGAACCCAAAUAGCCUGUACCCUGAGUUUUAAUGUUUUAAUUAUGCUUUCUUAUGCAUCAAGGAUUGUAUUAUAUCAGGAAACUUACCCCCCUCCCACCCCAAAUCAUAAGGGUCUUAAAUACUCUAGGAAUGACCACCUGACACCAGACUCUUUACAAGUCUUGAUUCAGGUUGAUGAAGUCAAUCUGAGCUGAGUUUUCAUUCUUGUCUUUUCCCAGUUCAUGUCUCUGUCUGACACCUGCCAAGACCCCCUCACUGGCUGGCCUUAGACUUCUGUCUAUCCUCUGCCUCGGCUUCCCAAGUGCUGGUAGUACAACCAUCAGGGCUGACCAAAAUCUAACUCCUUAAAAUAUUAAUUUUUAAAACACAUUUCUUUUGUGUUGGGGGCAGGCUUGUGUCCCGGUGCUUGUGUGGAGGUCAGAGGACAACUGGCAAGAGUCAGUUCUCUCCUCCCACCACGUGGGUUCUGAGGAUCCAACGCAGGCAGUGAGCUUGGCAGCAGGCAUCUUUACUCACGGAGCCACCUCAGCGGCCCAGUCGUCAACCUUGCCAAGUGUGUAGUUGAGUGAGGUUAAACAUGCUUGCAGUUGCCUGCAACCGUCACUCCCCCUCAUCUGUGUGUCCGGGGAACUGAAACCACGUCUGCUAAUCAGUUUGCCCCCCACACCCUGGCAAUCCCUCCACGCCACCAGCCAUGGCACCUGCCCCUGGACCCUCUCCCUUCUGUUAGUUACCUUAAGUAACU